CCAGGCUGGGCAGGAGAGAGAAUUCCAGAACCAGAGCUCUGGGGAUAGUUCCAUGAUCAUAUCUGACUUAAUGCAGAGGCCAGGAUGCUGUCCUGCAAAAAUGAAGGAGAAGGUCAGAAACCUGCAGCUGCCCGUGGGAAUGGUGGAAACAGCAAAAAAGGGACACUGUCACCUCCUGUGGCACCUGUGUUGAACAUCCUGCACUGCAAGAGGACAAUCCCUCAAAAGCAGCACCUGUCCAGUUGGCACUGCUGAGCAUGAGCAUUGCCUAGUAGCCAUGUUGCAGAGCUACUUGUGCACUGGGGAGCAGACAGCAAAGAGCUUUGGCUACAGUUAUGCCAAACA